UACGAAGGGGGCUAGCGUUGCUCGGAAUCACUGGGCGUAAAGCGCACGUAGGCGGACCCUUAAGUCGGUGGUGAAAUCCUGGAGCUCAACUCCAGAACUGCCUCCGAUACUGGGAGCCUUCGAGUCCGGGAGAGGUGAGUGGAACUGCGAGUGUAGAGGUGAAAUUCGUAGAUAUUCGCAAGAACACCAGUGGCGAAGGCGGCUCACUGGCCCGGUACUGCACGCUGAGGUGGCGAAAGCGUGGGGAGCAACAGG
rnacentral:rRNA from 1 species